UACGUAGGGGGCUAGCGUUGUCCGGAAUCAUUGGGCGUAAAGCGCGUGUAGGCGGUCCGGUAAGUCCGCUGUGAAAGUCGAGGGCUCAACCUCGAAUGCCGGUGGAUACUGUCGGGCUUGAGUACGGGAGAGGCGAGUGGAAUUCCUGGUGUAGCGGUGAAAUGCGCAGAUAUCGUAAGGAAGACCAGUGGCGAAGGCGGGUCUCUGGACAGUUCCUGACGCUGAGGCACGAAGGUCAGGGGAGCAAACGGG
rnacentral:rRNA from 1 species